UGAUUUUUAAUUAAAGGGCUGCAGUAUUUUGACUGUACAAAGGUAGCAUAAUCAUUAGUCAUUUAAUUGAUGACUUGUAUGAAAGAUUGGAUGAAAUAUAAACUGUCUCUUAAUUAAAUUAUAGAAUUUAAUUUUUUAAUUAAAAAGUUAAAAUAAAUUAAAAAGACGAGAAGACCCUAUAGAGUUUUAUAUUUAGUUGAAUUUAAAAUAUUUAUAAAAUUAAAAAUUUAAAUUUAAUAGAAUAUUUUAUUGGGGUGAUAGAAAAAUAAGAAAAACUUUUUUUAAUUAAAAACAUAUAUAAGUGAUAAUAUGAUCCAAUUUUAUUGAUUAUAAGAAAAAAUUACCUUAGGGAUAACAGCGUA
rnacentral:rRNA from 1 species